UACGUAGGGCGCUAGCGUUGUCCGGAAUCAUUGGGCGUAAAGAGCGCGUAGGCGGCCCGGUAAGUCCGCUGUGAAAGUCGGGGGCUCAACCCUCGAAUGCCGGUGGAUACUGUCGGGCUAGAGUACGGAAGAGGCGAGUGGAAUUCCUGGUGUAGCGGUGAAAUGCGCAGAUAUCAGGAGGAACACCUAUUGCGAAGGCAGCUCGCUGGGACGUAACUGACGCUGAGGCGCGAAAGCGUGGGGAGCAAACAGG
rnacentral:rRNA from 1 species